UACAGAGGGGGCAAGCGUUGUUCGGAAUUACUGGGCGUAAAGGGCGCGUAGGCGGCCUGCUAAGUCGAACGUGAAAUCCCUGGGCUCAACCCAGGAACUGCGUCCGAUACUGGUUGGCUUGAAUCCGGGAGAGGGAUGUGGAAUUCCAGGUGUAGCGGUGAAAUGCGUAGAUAUCUGGAGGAACACCGGUGGCGAAGGCGGCAUCCUGGACCGGUAUUGACGCUGAGGCGCGAAAGCCAGGGGAG
rnacentral:rRNA from 1 species